rnacentral:misc_RNA from 1 species
CAUUCAUUUUCGGAAGUUCGAGUCUACUGAAGAAAAAGUUUAAUUAUGUCUGGACGUGGCAAAGGAGGCAAAGGAUUGGGAAAAGGAGGCGCUAAGCGUCACAGAAAAGUAUUGAGAGAUAAUAUCCAAGGUAUCACCAAGCCAGCUAUUCGUCGUCUCGCAAGAAGAGGUGGUGUAAAACGUAUUUCUGGUCUCAUCUAUGAAGAAACUCGUGGGGUACUCAAGGUGUUUUUGGAAAACGUCAUCCGUGAUGCUGUAACCUACACAGAACACGCCAAAAGAAAGACUGUUACUGCUAUGGACGUCGUCUAUGCUUUGAAACGCCAAGGACGUACUCUCUAUGGUUUCGGUGGUUAAAUCCGACUCAACGUCUAUUUAAAAACAAAAAAACGGCCCUUUUCAGGGCCACCAAAUUAUAUCAAAGAUUUUUAGUUGAUGAUUUUAUACGUAACGCAUUAAUAUUAUAAACAACUUCUGAGUACUGUCUUUAUCAUUUACAACUGAAUAAUAAACUUGAACUUAAGCAAAUUUCACUUAUUAUCGCCAACAUUUUCCCGCCGAUACUUUCGCUAUUGUUAUUUAGAGCAUGUAGGAUAUUUGGUACACCUGCGCAUGAGUUAAAUUUAGCACUGAUGAAUUCAAAUUAUUGUAUGAAAUUUUAAGGCUCCAGUGUAUUCACAAGCUGUUUGUUUGGCAUCAGUAGAUUUACUACCAAGGCUAGAAUUGUCUUGAAAAAUUAUUGUAGAAACAAUCACCUGAUUAUGCAUUUCAUGCACUUUCUGUGCUAGAAAAUGAUUUUUAAAAGUUUCAUAAUCUUCAAGUCUUUCUCGCGGCUGCCCAAUCAGAAUCGGUCGUUUAGAUCACGUGAUCAGUUUUGGCGCCCGAUUUUCCCGCCUUUUUAUCUCGAUCUCGCGACUAACCAAUCAGCGGUCGUUAUUUCUGGCCACGUGAUAUUCCCGCCAAAAAAAGUGUAUAUAAGAAGCUACUUCGCCUCUAGUCCUCACUCUGAAAUUUUGGUUCAUCUGAAUUGACUUGUCAGUAAAAUGGCCCGUACCAAACAAACAGCUCGUAAAUCUACUGGUGGUAAAGCACCAAGAAAACAAUUGGCAACCAAGGCUGCACGUAAAAGUGCUCCAGCAACUGGAGGUGUGAAGAAACCCCAUCGUUACAGACCUGGUACUGUAGCUUUGAGAGAAAUCCGUCGUUACCAGAAAUCGACUGAAUUGCUCAUCCGAAAAUUACCCUUCCAAAGAUUGGUUCGUGAAAUUGCUCAAGACUUCAAGACCGAUUUACGUUUCCAAAGUUCUGCAGUUAUGGCUCUUCAGGAAGCUAGCGAAGCCUAUUUGGUUGGUCUAUUUGAAGAUACUAACUUGUGCGCUAUCCACGCCAAGCGUGUUACUAUCAUGCCUAAAGAUAUUCAAUUGGCAAGAAGAAUCCGCGGAGAAAGAGCUUAAGAUGCGAUUUGAGAUAUUUUAAAACAAAAGGCCCUUUUAAGGGCCACCAAACUUUAACAAAGGUCUUUGAUAAUUUAUAAGCCGUUUUUAGUUAAGUUGAUUUAAGUAAUAAAUUUUAUAAAGAACAUUUACAUAAGUGAACUGUUUAUAUCAAGUGCUGUCAUAUACUCAGUUGCAUUUACUCAUCUGGUUGACAGGGUGCGAUUGGUGUUUUUUUAUCGACACCUAUUCCAGAUUCAUCGUCUGAAUCAGGUGGUAGGGCGCAUAUUUCCUCUAAUUCUUUUUCUACUUGUGCAACUUCUUCUCUAUCCAUAAUAGAUUCAGGUCUUUGUAAUUCUGGGUUUUGUGGGGCUUUUUCAUUUUCAUCGUGUGGUACUUGGUUAGGUAGAGGUGUAUGAGCAGGUCUCGGAGAAUGAGUCAAGUUUCUGGGACUAUUUACAAUCAUUGGGGUUUCGCGUAUACUGAUUGGCGUGACGGAAGUUUUGGGGGCAGGUGUUGUCCCCUGAUAGAAUCUAUCUCCGAUGGACAAGUCAGGCGAAACAGCGAGUCUAAGCAUUUCAUUAACAUGUUUCUUAUCAUCUUGCUUUCUCAGUAAGUAGAUGAGAGUUACAACCAAAGUAAAAGCUGCUACAAGCGAAAAGAAAACUGCCAGGGCUACAACAUGAGCGGAUAGGCCGUUAUCAACAGGCAUUGGAGGAAUUUCAGUGGGUUUUGUAUCUUCUAGGAACCCUUUUUGAGCUAGAUACGACUGUGACUGUGCAGCCAAGAAGGGAUCACCUGUGGACUCUUUAACUGCUUUUCCUAUAGAUUCUUGACUCUCAGUUGUUUUAAUUAUCUUUUCUAAAAUGGUGUUAGGGACGUCAAAUUUAUUUAUAUCUCUCUUCUUUCUAGACGUUGUUGACGACGACGAUGAAUUUUUGUCAUCUACAGGUAGAGGUAUCUUACAAAGCUCAUUAUUCCUAUCUAUCAGAGCAAAUAUCAUUACUCUGGCCCCGCUUUCGUUGGGUAUAUAUCUUGGAUAUGCAGUAGCAGUAUGAAAGUCUUUGCCAAAGCAAUACUUAUCUAAGCUGUUUAUAGGGUUAGGUGGAUCUUGAAGGCAACAUUCCCUAUAUUGCUCAGCAUUAGCAGUACAAUACGAUUGAAGCUGUUUGCAGAAGACAUUAAAAAUUGUUGAUUCUAUUGUCUCCCAAAGAAUAGGCAAUAAUGAUUUGAAAUCAAGUAUAACUGAUUUAUCCGCUUCACUCUUUAUAGCAUAGCAACUUGGAGACUUGUAGUUGCAUAGAGCAUAUUGAAGACUCUCUCCAGGACAUCUUCUUCCAGGAGAUGGAGGUGGUUUGUCGCAUUUGCGACUUUUCUGCCUUCUACCAUGACAGGCUUUCGAACAUGUAUUCCAAGCAGACCAUGUACUCCAUUGGCCAUCGGUUUGAGAGCAAGCUCUGCCAUCUGCGUCUAAGAUGUAAUAUCUAUCGCAUGUACAGUUGUAGCCACCUUUUGUGUUCAAGCACGUUGAAUGGUCUUUACAUUGAUGCUUGUGUUCUGGAUCGUCCGUUGUGCAUUCGUCAAUAUCAACGCAUACAUUUCCAUCGACCAAGAAGCCUCCUUUGCACUCACACCAAUCGCUACCAUCUUUUUGAACACAUAAUUGUUCACAAGCAUUAGCUACAUUCUCAUCGAAACAUUUGUCCGCAACGAUACACUUUUUGCCAUCGCUACCCAACCUAAAUCCUUGUCGGCAGAAACAUCUGUACGAUCCCUGAGUAUUUUUACAAUCUAAUUCACAGCCGCUAAUUGAUCUACAAAGAGAGCAUAUCGAAACAUGCACCUUAUUCUUAUAUCAUAUUUAUAAUUGUAGGUAUUCUUACCUGCUUGAGCAUUCGUCUACAUCCACACAAUCGUCGCCGACUUUCUUAUAACCUUUUUGACAUUCACACAUAUAACUGCCUUCAGUAUUUAUACACAUUUCAGUGAGUUUACAAGGACUAGUCAGGCAUUCGUUUAUGUCUUUGCAAGUAAACCCGUCUCCUAAAUACCCAGGCUUACAUCUGCAGUUGUAGGAGCCGGGCGUGUUUGUACAAAGUGCAAUAUCAGUACAACCCCUGGCAGAGGGAUCUUCACCAAUACAUUCGUUCAAAUCUAUACAAUAUGUUUCAUUUCUUUUUCUGAAGCCUGGUAAACAUUUGCAUGUAUAGCUGGAUUUUGUGUUUAUACACUGAGUUCCUGCUAAACAUGUAUGCAAAUUUUCUGUACAUUCGUCUAUGUCGAUACAACCCGAUUGAAAAGAAUCGUGUCUAUAACCAUCAGGACAUUGACAUUCAUAAGAACCUUCUUUAUUGAUACAAGUUGCAAGACCUUUACAAGGGUUGCUUAUGCAUUCAUCUAAGUCAACACAUCCAAUACCAUCAAAAGUAAAACCCUUAUUGCAGAUACAAGUGUCGUUACCGUUUCUCUUUGCGCAGACGCCUGAGCUACCGCAAGCUAAUUGGAGGUUGCAAGCGUACGAUUCAUUGAGAACGCAGGAGAUUUUAUCUUUGUGUAGAUGAAAUUCAGGAUGACAUGUGCACAGGUAUGACCCUUGAGUAUUCAUGCAAAAGUGCUUACAAGGGUUAUUCGGUAAGAGGCAUUCGUUAACAUCAUGGCAGUUUUUACCAUCUUGAUGCAGCACGUAGCCAGAAGAGCAAGAGCACUCGAAAGAACCGAGUGUGUUUUCGCAGUAGGUUGAGCAGCCACCAUUGUUUUCAAGACAUUCCUCAACAUCGACACAGGUUAUACCAUCUCCCACAAAGCCAUCCAUGCAGGUGCAAGCAUAGCUACCGUUCAUAUUUCUACAGGUAGCCUUUUCCGAGCAUUCAUUUGCCACAGCGUAUCCACAUUCGUCAACAUCAUAACAACUUCCAUUCCUACCUUCAACAAAACCUUUCGGACAUGUGCAUAUGAAAGAACCUUCAGUAUCUUGACACAAAUGUUUACAAUUAUGAAUGUUUAAUUCACAUUCAUCUAUAUUUAAGCACAUUGUUCCUGAUCCAAAAGAUUUAAAGCCAUCUUUACAUCUGCAGCUGUAUCUUCCCAUUGUAUUUUCACAAUUACUAUUUUCAGGACAAUUGAAGCUACCUAUUGAGCAUUCGUCUAUAUCUACGCAUAGUGUGAUAUUAGCAUUGUCUAACUCCCAUCCACUCGGACAAAUACAUUUGUCAGGAAUGUCUGUCACUGCUUGACAAAAACCUCCGUCACAGUUCAAAGAGUUACAACUCUUUUUAGGCAUACAUCUAGUAUAGCCAUCCAGCACAGAGGCUGCUCCGCAACCACAAGUAUAGUGAGCUCCAUUUGCUGUGCAUACGUCAUCACAUUCUUCAUCGUAAGAACAAAGAUCUCGUUUUGUACAUUCAACUUCAUUCGAUGAUUGAUAACCCCAACCACAAUCGCAUGUAUAUCCUCCUAACUUAUUAAUGCAUAGUCGUUCGCAACCACCAUUAUUUUCCAAGCAUUCGUCUAUAUCCUGGCAGGUUUUUUCUUCCGUUAGUGCAUAGCCCCUCGGACAUUCGCACACAUACGAUCCGCUUCCAUCUUUGCAAAAGCUACCAACACCGCAGUCAUUAAGUUCACCGUUUAGGCAUUCUUUUUUAUCUUUGCAGGAGUAGCCAUCAGCGUGAAGAAAAUAGCCAUUAUAACAAGAGCAAUUAUAACUUUUAUCGGUGUUGAUACAAUUAUGCUCGCAUUUGGCUCGUAAAGGAUUCUCUGAGCUAAGAGAGCAUUCAUUAAAAUCGUAACAAUUAGUUGUUGUCGCCACUCUAGUUUUAGAACAAGGUGAACACUCGUAUUCAUUUUGAUUGACAUCUGUAACAUUUUUAUCAAUACAUUUACCAUAGCACAGUCGUUCAGUCUCGCAAACAUUUAAAUCUUUAUCGCAUAAAUCUCCAAACCAACUUGUUUUACAUUGACAUUUUGCAAAUAUCAUAUUAUUUUCAUAUCUAAGAGAACUAAAAUCGCAAGUACCAUGAUUUUUACAAUUGCAGAUAACUAAAUUAGGAAACCAAACGAAUUUAGCUCCAAAACUAUUCGCUAUCGUUAUCUGUAUUCUAUUCGGUUUAUUUAGGGUAAAUUUCACAUUUGCUGAGAAAAUUCCACUUGAAACCUUUUGAAUUUGUUCAAUGCUUAUACUACCAGAUAGAGCAUCUACAAUGUUACCAGUAAAGCUAAUAUCUUGUUGAUUCUUAUCUUCUGCUGUCAUUGAGAAGACUUUUUCUUGACCUAUGAUUACGUUAAUCGUUUGCUGAGGUGUAGUAGGUGGUAAAUUUUUGAUAAUUUCUAGAUUUUUCACCAUAUCUUCUACGAAAUUAGCAGUUUCAUUUGCGAAUUUAUCAUUAUUAGUUACUUUUAAAUCGUGUUGACAAUAUUUAAUGCUAGUUGACUGACGUCCAAUACAAAUUCCAGUAAUUGUUUCAGUAUCAAUUUCAGAAGCUUGUGGUAAGAAUUUUUCCCUAAAGUAUCUAUUGGCUGAGUUGAAGAUAAAUUCUUUAUUGUAUACGCUAAAUAACGAUCGCUUGGUUGCGUAUGUUGGUCCAACUAAUUUUCUAAGUGACCACUUUGUAAAAGUAUCAGCGGAAAUAGGUGAUUCGCCCAAAAUUCCUUUAAAGUUUUCCACACUAUCAGCUGUGGAGAGUAGCAUAUUUAACCCUUUCUCGCUUUUUAUUAUCUUUACCGAACAGUCAGAAGUGUAGGAAAUGACAAUUGAAUAUCCGCUGUUAAUAACUUCGGCGUUGCCUAUACUAACUUCCCCCACAUCAAUUUCUUUGGACUGGCUAACUACUUUUAGAGGUAAAUCAUUUUGCCAAUAAAUCUCUAUUGCAGCAUUAUUAAGUUCUUUAAUUGCCACUGCAGAUAUUGAAGAUAGUUUCUCUCCUAAACGAGAUUUCACUUUUAUAUUUUGACGAAGAUAAACCGCCUCUAUUAGUUUUGUAUUCAUUGCAUUGCCAGCAGUUUGAUUUUGAAGGGGUGCAAAGAACCCCACAGCAAGAAGAAUAUGCAUCCUUAUCUUUCGAAUGAUCUGCUGAAUUCCAUUUAUAUUUGUGCAAAAGCGAUUGAUAUUCGAAUUGCAAUGAUUCGUCAACUUUGCUAAGAAAUGCUUCUGAUGUUGGAGAAUAGCAGCACGUUACUGUUUGACUUGUCAAAAUUUUCCUGAAGCACUUUCUCGAUUCUUUUUCAAAUGUUAGCGUGAAUGAUGGUAAAGCUUGGACAACUCUUAAAGAUGGUGGACAUGAAUCUUUUAAUAUGUCCUUCCAGCUUUCAUCUUUGCCCUUCAUUGCAGAUAGAGCCUCAAAACAUUUAAUCUUAUUUUCAUCCCCAGUAACAGUUGAAUUGGGAUGAUUCAAGUUAAAAACGAAAAUGCCUUUAGUCAUAUUUAACUCUCUUUGCAGGGGAUUCAAGUCCAUUCUAUAGACAUUAUCAUUUGUACUUGUCCAUGUGGCUGAUAAUUUAUGUUCAAAGUAUUUAUCAUUUCUUAUAUAACCCAUUCUUGCCGGAUAUCCCUCAUAUAAAUUUGUUAUAUCUCUCGAGUUAAAUGAAGUGGGGAUCCAAUUCAUUUCGUUUUCUUUAUACAAAUAUACGCAAUAGCUUUCUUUAAAGUCAGUUGCUAGAAUAACUUGGAAAGUGUUCUUUUCGAUAUACAGUGACUCGUAAGCGGGUGCUACGGUAUCCCAUGUAACUUUCAAAAGCCAUUUCGGUUUAAAAGAUACAUUAUAUGCUGAAAGGACUAUAUUCUUUAUCUUCUCAUAUUUAGCAUCAUUAUUAUUUUCGUAUACAUUGUACCAUAUUUUGUAGAAUUUUGAUGUGCUUGAAAUAUCCGACCAGAAUGGAGCUAGCAACAUUCCUAUCCCUGUUGGUAGUUUUAGCUCUUUAAAGACUUUCGGGUAAGAAAAUGUUGGUUUAACAAGCAAUCUCUCAUAGGUUAAGGCGAUAAUUCCGUUUUCUGAUAUGUAUACUCCCGAAUAUAUUUUACCAUCGUCUAAAGGUAUACCUCCAGGAAUUUUCAGUGUUUCUGAUAAUCUUUCUCUGGUAAUUCUGCUUAUCUUUAAUAAUAAUUUGUCUCCUUCCGCUUCGCCGUAUUCCAUCAAUCGUAUUUCUUGACAACUUUUAAGUUUGUUCGAAGAAUCUUUUAUAGGUCUAUAUUUAUUGGGGCAAGAACAAGUAUAUGAACCCAAUGUAUUCGUGCAUAUUGUUGUUUUCGGACAGGGAGAUUUUUUACAUUCAUCAAUAUCUGUACAAUUUACUCCAUCACCUUCAAAGCCACUUUUACAAACACACUUAAAGGAUCCUAAAGUAUUAAGGCAAAGACUAUUUGGCGCUAAACAAUCGUGUAUCAAUGUUUGAGGAGCCUCUUCUUCUGUACACUCAUUUAUGUCUCUACAUCUUUGAAAAACGCCAUUUUUCAUUAAGGGUGUGAAACCAUAUUUACAUUCGCAUUUAUAAUUCCUUCCUGUGUCUAUAUAAGAGCACAUCCCAUUGUCUUGUGUGAAACAUGGAUUCUUUUCACACCACUUUACUCUAUUAGCUAUACAUGUGCCAUUUCCAGUACAAUUUUUAUAUUCAGCAUAGGUUUUCCCUGGCUCUUUUUUACACGGUCUUCCACCGUUCUCUGGAGCCGGAUUAUUACAUAUAAUUUCCCUUUUGCUAUAGCCCAUAUCACAAUCUGAGGAACAUAAAGACCACGCUGUCCACUCGGACCAUCCUCCAUGAGCUAUUUCGCAUAAAUUUCCUUCGUAGGUAGAAUUAAAGCAUUCACACUUAACACCGCUUCCAUUUUCAGUACAAUUUCCUCUCGAAUUACAAGAGGUCGGUGUGCAUUCUUUUAUAUCAGUACAAUUAAAAGGAUCUCCUUCAAAGCCAGGUUUACAAACGCAACUGUAGGAGCCAGAAUUAUCGACACAAGUUGAAUUUUCUGUGCAAUUAUGCAAAUUUUCAACACAUUCGUCUAUAUUUUCACACGAGUAAGUGUUUGCAGCAGGAUUAAAAUUCACUCUUCUAUAGCCAUCCUUACAACCACAUUCAUACGAGCCAAUAGCAUCAAUACAUUUAGCAUUUUCAUGCUUCUGUUUACAUACAGAUUCGUAGAGAAUACAUUCAUUAUCAUUUUGACAAUCUCUUCCUCUUUGGAUGAAACCUUUAUUACAAGUACAUGUAUAAGGUGAACCAGAAUAGCUUUGUAAAUUAUAAUUGGCAUCUGUACAAGUUGAAUUUACAUGGCAUUUGUGUAAAUUUUGUGUACAUUCAUUAACGUUUUCACCGCAAUCGUAUAUUACUUGUUCCAAAUCCAAGUUAUUUAUUUCAUUCACCUCUGACACAACAUUUAAAGCGUCUACAAUUAUACCUACAUAGGGUUUGUUCCAACAGAAAUCAGAUAGCGAUCUUAUCAAUGGAAUUUCAACAGAUUUUAAUUGGAUUGUAGUUCGUAAGUUAUUUUUAGAUGAAAUUUCCAUUUGUUGAAUUUGUAACGUAUGAUUUUGCACUAUGAUUGGAUCAUCGUUUGCCUGAUAAACUUUAUCGUUGGAAAAGAUUAAACCAAACUUAAAGUUGACUUCAUUGCCACUUUUUUCAGGCAAUUUAAAAGAGCCUGUUGUUAUUAUUACAAUCGUCAUUUCAAUAUCAAUUUUGUCGCCUGGUCUGAUAGUUUUCUCUUGGAUAUUUAACAACUUUAAAUCUUCUAUAGAUAAGUCAAUUUUAUCACCACAAACCGAAGAAAUUGGUGCCAAGAAAGCAUCCCACUCAAGCUUGUUAUUCUUUUCAUUCGUUUCCGCAAGGCUAUGUCCCGAGUCUAUUUCUAUUUCCAAUUUCGCAGAUCUAACAUUGCAAAGAAACAAAUGAUCUUCUUCCGUUAGGGUCAAACCUGGAACUUCUCUGGCGAUGUAGACUGUAGUUGUUGCGGAUACUCCCUUAUUUAUAUCAGUAAUCAAGUUUUGACUAUUAUAUGAAAUUUUUUUACGGAUGUCUUUAUGAGAAAUGUAAAAUCCGACAGUAUAUAGUAGAGGAUCUGUUUGUCCACUAGGAAAGUUUCCCCAGCCUCCACUUCCACUUAUUUCAAUAAAAGUUGUAAUAUUAAAACCCAUAUCGUGGUUGAAGGUAUAAUUAUGACUGUAUACAUUAUCUAACCACUUGAAUGCUAUUGGUUGUAAAUCUCUCCAAUGGUCUUGACAGUCAACUGCUAUUUUAAAUUCCAUAUGAUUGUUGUUCAUAUAACAUUCAGGUAUUGAUGGUGCAAUAACUUCUAAACCUAAUAUAAAAUGUCCACUUCCUAGAUAGGGACACACUAUAUUCAUGUUAAUAUCUCCAACCCAUUUAGGAGUUUCUACAGUUGUUCCCUGCUUAAAAGUGUUUAGGUAUCUUCCAUUUGGAAGCUUACUUGACCAAGAACUAGGAGUUACGUAGUAUCUUUGUGAAUUGACUUCGUCUUUUCUUAUGUAAGCUCUCAUUUCAAAGCUCGCCAUAUGCUUGAGUGGAACAAUAUCUUUAUCGAAUAUGUUUUUGACUGUUGCAACAACGCUGAUAGGUGAACCGUCUUUAUAAUACACGUCUUCCUUUUCCAGUUGAAUAUCAACCAAAUAAAGAACAUCACUGUGGCACUUAAUAUCAAUCUCUAUUGGAUAGACGUUAUUACCUUCGUCAAAUUCUUCGAUUAUAUUAUUUUCAUCCAGUACUAUAAGGAGAUAAGCUGGCCCACAAAUUACUAAUUUUUCUAUUUGUAAAUGUAAAGUUAGAUUAACUUCUGUUGAUUUAUCAAAUUUUUUCAUUAGUUUUGUUAUAUUAUAUUCAUUUUUGACCUUAUAACUUUCUUUUUCG